UGGGAACGAAAUGGUGGGGUGGGGAGAACCGGAGAAGGAGAGGACGAGGAGGGUUCAGACUUGGAGACUUGAGAAGACGACUGUCUCAGUUUUCCACCGCUGGGAGCAACUGCAAGGGGGCGGGGGAAUCCAAGUGAAUGCUCAAGCAGAAACCGACAUUUCUGGAUUCCGGCUGCUGCAUGUGUGUGACUGACGUAUCUGCGCCUGCGUGUGCGUGGGUGUCAAGUGCAUCUUCUGCAGUGACGCUCCAUUCCAUUCGACCAUGGCGUAUCUUCAAAAGCAAAAGCAAACGUUGUGCUUUCUCUCAAGAUUGACAGCUUUUCCUCGAACAAAGAGAACAGCAUAAAGGCAUGGUGGCAGUAUGUAAACGCUGAACUUGCAAGUAGCUGCUAACACUAAACUGUUACUGCAUCCCAA